GGUGUCAGAAGUAGUGUUUUGUGAUGUCUGUGGUUCCCUAAGACAUUAUUGGCUAGAAUGAACAAGUUGCUCACCAAUAAAAUGGAAGGACUUGGCUUUUCAUUGUGCUGAGAAUGAGUUUAUAGGUGUGUCAGGAGCUCCUGGGCAGACCAGUUCUUGGUUUCAUCAUGACUAAAGUGACCAGAAAAUCACUGAAGCAAAACUGGGCUAAAGUAACAUUGACUCCAAGGACUAAAAGGAGGAAGAAACGGAAGCCAUUUAUUCCACUAAGAUGUCAAUUACAUUUCAAGGUACCAAGGACAAGAGUGAAGACAAAACGAUCCCUAGGAUGCACAAGGAAAAAAGUUCAAACAUACAAUGUUCAUCCAAAAAAGCGUAAAAGAUCAAUAAGACCAACAAUAUAUGUUUGUUAUCAUAUGUUAAGUAGGAAGUGGAAAGAAAGGAGGGAAAGGAGACGAAAUAAAAGACAGUAUCAGUCUAAGAAAAGGAGUCAACUUAAGAGAAGAUGUCAAAGUAAGAAACAAAAUAAAAAAUAAGACCCAUAUAUAGCUAUCUUCAGAAUAAAGCCCUGGAUAAGUUUGUCACUUCAAAUGAAGACCAACAUACCAAAAAGAUAAAAGAACUUGCCAAAGUUUGUAGCAUUUCUUGGAGCCUGAAAAUGGUUUAGUAUAAAAAGAUUAAAUCAUAUAUCAACAGGGCAUAAUGAUGAUUGCGGUAAAAAUAAAAUGAAGUUCUAGGAAGGUAA